GCGGUAGGCCGGCACGGCGGUACUCGGCUCCGAGGAGUGCGCGGACUGCGUGCGGGACGGGGCGAGCUCGGGGGUUGUCUCGCCGGGGGCCAGAAGUUAAUGUUUAACGCGGUAGUCACACGCCCGUCAGCGAGCUCGGCUGGGGUGUUUUCGGAGUGUUUGGAACAGGAAAUGCCAGCGCAGGUAGCGUGGAGCUCGGUGAAAUUUAAUCAGUUCCCAGCGUUUGCAGUCGCGCGAGGAGCGCUCCGGGUGCAGGUGGGCGGGCGGCUGCGUGCAGGCUGCUCGGCACCCGGCGCUCCGUCUGUCCCCUGCUUUGAUUUUCUAUGCAAAUACGGUAAAAGACGCUUUCCAGGGGUAAUACGUCUCGUUUUCUCAGCGCGUUUUUUCCUCUUCCCAAAAGUGCAUGAAAAUGGGCAGCUGGCUGGAAAAGAGAGACCUUGUAAGCAGAUGCAAGGAGCAGAGUUGAGCUGUGAAUACAACAGCACCUUCGUGUAAUGUGUUGCUGACGUGGAGCAAACUGAGAACCGUUUCCCUGAAAUUCUCACAGUGAGCCAUAACUUUUCUGAAACCCACCGCAACAGCCCAAUGCUUUGUGCACGGAAGUUACGCGUUAUUGUACCAGUGAAAUGGAAAGCAAAGUGAUUAUACAGAAGCUCUUAGUGAAUAAACAAUUCUUGUCUUAAAUUGUUCUGAUAGAG
rnacentral:lncRNA from 1 species